ACGUAGGGGGCAAGCGUUAUCCGGAUUUACUGGGUGUAAAGGGAGCGUAGACGGUAAAGCAAGUCUGAAGUGAAAGCCCGGGGCUCAACCCUGGGACUGCUUUGGAAACUGUUUAACUAGAGUGCUGGAGAGGUAAGCGGAAUUCCUAGUGUAGCGGUGAAAUGCGUAGAUAUUAGGAGGAACACCAGUGGCGAAGGCGGCUUACUGGACAGUAACUGACGUUGAGGCUCGAAAGCGUGGGGAGCAAACAG
rnacentral:rRNA from 1 species